GUUCUCUGGCUUAUGACCCCCAGGUUGUUCCCAGCACCCUCAGGCCAUCGAGGGGUCAUCUAUUACUGCUGUCCAAGAGAUGGGGUUUCACCAUGUUGCUUAGGGUGGUCUUGAACUCCUGGACUCAAGUGAUCCACUCCCUUCAGCCUCCCCAAGUGCUGGGAUUACAGGCCGUUGAGUUCAGCUUAUGGUGAUGGAAAGAGAGAUGUCAAUAAUUCCACAUUUUCUGGCUUGCAUUGUUUGAUGAAAGGUGACCCC